AGAUAUGAAAUACUAAGAAUUUAUGUCUGGUGAAAACCUUUUGAAUCACACUUGGGCAGCUAGAAUUACAGUACAUUUGUGUUCACAAGACCAAGAAGAUCCUGAUUUCUGUGAAAAAGAACCUUGGCAACAACUCUUGAUCCCUUAAAUAGUAACAAACAACAGCCACAAAAGAACUUGGAUCAAACCAGGACUAAGCAGCUGCAGCUCUUUUCAUUUUCCCUAUCUUUUGGGUAAAAUAAUUGUUGAAUUAUGAUAGAACCUUUUGCAUUUUGGCAUCUCUCCUCCUAAUGCUUCCGUCCACUCUUGGAAUUUUUCCUCCAACUUCGUUCUCUUUCAUUGCAUUUUCCAGAAGUUCCACCUGCCCCUACACAAAAUCCUUGGAAUUGGCAAGAAUCGCCUCUUACACUACUACCCGACUUCAUUUCACCUGAACUUCUCUUGUUGGGAAAGGUUAAAAAAGUCUCACUUGAAGAUGUAGAUGAUGUAGUAGAGCACAUUGAAGGAGUUCCAG
rnacentral:misc_RNA from 1 species